UGCCCGCACCUCCCUCUCUGCUCAGGGCUCCCGAGAGCCAGGAGAGAUGCUGCCCCGGAAGCUAAAGCA
rnacentral:snoRNA from 1 species